CCUACGUGCGGCAGCAGUGAGGAAUAUUGGUCAAUGGCCGGAAGGCUGAACCAGCCAAGUCGCGUGAGGGAGGAAGGAGCAGUGGGUCGUAAACCUCUUUUGUCGGGGGAUAAAGGGAUCGACGUGUGGGGAUUUGCAGGUACCCUGUGAAUAAGCAUCGGCUAACUCCGUGCCAGUAGCCGCGGUAAUACGGAGGAGGCGAGCGUUAUCCGGAUUUAUUGGGGUUAAAGGGUGCGGAGGCGGUGUUUUAAGUCAGCGGUGGAAGUGUGGGGCUCACACCCCGACUUGCCGGUGAAACUGGAAGCCUUGAGUGUGUUUGAGGCAUGCGGAAUGCGUGGUGUAGCGGUGAAAUGCAUAGAUAUCGCGCAGAACCCCGAUUGCGAAGGCAGCUUACCGUGCCACCACUGACGCUGAGGCACGAAAGCGCGGGGAUCGAACAGGAUUAGAUACCCUGGUAGUC
rnacentral:rRNA from 1 species